AGCUCCAAUAGCGUAUAUUAAAGUUGUUGCAGUUAAAAAGCUCGUAGUUGGAUUUCUGGUGUGAGGGAACGGUCCGACCUCUGGUGGGUACUUGCUUCCUCUCACGCCAUCCUUGAGUGGUGCGUUCUGGCAUUCAGUUGUCGGGACGUUAGCCGCUCAUCGUUUACUGUGAGAAAAUUAGAGUGUUCAAAGCAGGCUUAUGCCGUUGAAUAUAUUAGCAUGGAAUAAUAAGAUAGGACUUCGGUACUAUUUUGUGGGUUUGCGCACCGAUGUAAUGAUCAAUAGGGACAGUUGGGGGUAUUCGUAUUCAGUUGUCAGAGGUGAAAUUCUUAGAUUUACGGAAGACGAACUACUGCGAAAGCAUUUACCAAGGAUGUUUGCA
rnacentral:rRNA from 1 species